rnacentral:rRNA from 1 species
AACAGGAUUAGAUACCCUGGUAGUCCACGCCGUAAACGAUGUCGACUUGGAGGUUGUGCCCUUGAGGCGUGGCUUCCGGAGCUAACGCGUUAAGUCGACCGCCUGGGGAGUACGGCCGCAAGGUUAAAACUCAAAUGAAUUGACGGGGGCCCGCACAAGCGGUGGAGCAUGUGGUUUAAUUCGAUGCAACGCGAAGAACCUUACCUACUCUUGACAUCCAGAGAACUUUCCAGAGAUGGAUUGGUGCCUUCGGGAACUCUGAGACAGGUGCUGCAUGGCUGUCGUCAGCUCGUGUUGUGAAAUGUUGGGUUAAGUCCCGCAACGAGCGCAACCCUUAUCCUUUGUUGCCAGCGUUUAGGCCGGGAACUCAAAGGAGACUGCCAGUGAUAAACUGGAGGAAGGUGGGGAUGACGUCAAGUCAUCAUGGCCCUUACGAGUAGGGCUACACACGUGCUACAAUGGCGCAUACAAAGAGAAGCGACCUCGCGAGAGCAAGCGGACCUCAUAAAGUGCGUCGUAGUCCGGAUUGGAGUCUGCAACUCGACUCCAUGAAGUCGGAAUCGCUAGUAAUCGUGGAUCAGAAUGCCACGGUGAAUACGUUCCCGGGCCUUGUACACACCGCCCGUCACACCAUGGGAGUGGGUUGCAAAAGAAGUAGGUAGCUUAACCUUCGGGAGGGCGCUUACCACUUUGUGAUUCAUGACUGGGGUGAAGUCGUAACAAGGUAACC